rnacentral:rRNA from 1 species
AGUCGAACGGCAGCACGGGUGCUUGCACCUGGUGGCGAGUGGCGAACGGGUGAGUAAUACAUCGGAACAUGUCCUGUAGUGGGGGAUAGCCCGGCGAAAGCCGGAUUAAUACCGCAUACGAUCUACGGAUGAAAGCGGGGGACCUUCGGGCCUCGCGCUAUAGGGUUGGCCGAUGGCUGAUUAGCUAGUUGGUGGGGUAAAGGCCUACCAAGGCGACGAUCAGUAGCUGGUCUGAGAGGACGACCAGCCACACUGGGACUGAGACACGGCCCAGACUCCUACGGGAGGCAGCAGUGGGGAAUUUUGGACAAUGGGCGAAAGCCUGAUCCAGCAAUGCCGCGUGUGUGAAGAAGGCCUUCGGGUUGUAAAGCACUUUUGUCCGGAAAGAAAUCCUUGGCUCUAAUACAGUCGGGGGAUGACGGUACCGGAAGAAUAAGCACCGGCUAACUACGUGCCAGCAGUCGCGGUAAUACGUAGGGUGCGAGCGUUAAUCGGAAUUACUGGGCGUAAAGCGUGCGCAGGCGGUUUGCUAAGACCGAUGUGAAAUCUCCGGGGCUCAA